CCUGGUUGAUCCUGCCAGUAGUCAUAUGCUUGUCUCAAAGAUUAAGCCAUGCAUGUGUAAGUACAGGCCGACUUAAGGCGAAACCGCGGACGGCUCAUUAAAUCAGAUAUAACUCAUUGGAUCUCUGCUGAACCGCAUUACUUGGAUAACUGUGGUAAUUCUAGAGCUAAUACAUGCCUUUGUAGUCUCCGACCGCGAGGGAGGAGCGCUUUUAUUAGACCAAAACCCUCGGCAGCCGGUUCCCGCAAGGGGCCGGCCGCACACAUCUUGGUGAAUCAGAAUAACUUUUGCCGAGCGCACGACCCCUCCCGUAACCCGGGUUGGGUCGGCGCCGCGUCCUGCAGGCGUCUGCCUUAUCAGCUCUCGAUUGUAGGUUAAACGCCUACAAUGGCUAUCACGGGUAACGGGGAAUCAGGGUUCGAUUCCGGAGAGGGAGCCUGAGAAACGGCUACCACAUCUAAGGAAGGCAGCAGGCGCGCAAAUUACCCACUCCCGGCACGGGGAGGUAGUGACGAAAAAUACUGUUGCGAGCCCCGAACGGGGCCUCGCAAUUGGAAUGAGUACACUUUAAAUCCUUGUACGAGGAUCGAGUGGAGGGCAAGUCUGGUGCCAGCCGCCGCGGUAAUUCCAGCUCCACUAGCGUAUAUUAAAGUUGUUGCGGUUGAAACGCUCGUAGUUUGACUUCUGCUCCGGACCGGCGGUCCGCCUUAGCGGCGGCUACUGCCGGGUUCCGAGCUGUGUCCCCGCCGGCGCACAUGGGGUUUUUAUGCCCUUAACCGGGUGUCCCCUUGUGGCCGGCACGUUUACUUUGAAAAAAUUAGAGUGCUCAGAGCAGGCUGGUUUUUGCUUACAGCCCGAAUGGUCGUGCAUGGAAUGAUGGAACAGGACCUCGGUUCUAUUUUGUCGGUUUUUCGGAACCCGAGGUAAUGAUUAAUAGAAGCAGACGGGGGCAUUCGUACUGCGACGCUAGAGGUGAAAUUCUUAGACCGUCGCAUGACGACCUACUGCGAAAGCAUCUGCCAAGGAUGUUUUCAUUGAUCAAGAACGAAAGUUAGAGGUUCGAAGGCGAUCAGAUACCGCCCUAGUUCUAACCUUAAACGAUGCUGACUAGCGAUCCGCCGCAGUUAUUCCCAUGACCCGGCGGGUAGCUUCCGGGAAACCAAAGUCUUUGAGUUCCGGGGGAAGUAUGGUUGCAAAGCUGAAACUUAAAGGAAUUGACGGAAGGGCACCACCAGGAGUGGAGCCUGCGGCUCAAUUUGACUCAACACGGGGAAACUCACCAGGCCAGGACACCGGAAGGAUUGACAGAAUGAAGGCUCUUUCUCGAUUCGGUGGGUGGUGGUGCAUGGCCGUUCUUAGUUGGUGGAGUGAUCUGUCUGGUUAAUUCCGAUAACGAACGAGACUCUAGCCUGCUAAAUAGUCGACGGAUCUCAACCCCGUUGCCCCCGUUGUCGUUCGCGGCGAUGCGGGGCGCGGGUUCCCCGAAACCCGGUCGUCGUGCGGGCCUCCACCGUCGGUCGGUUAGCGCCGCCGGCGGCGCGCCCCGCGGCGCCGGAAACUGGCGUCCGCUUCGCAGUCUUCUUCUUAGAGGGAUAAGCGGCAGCAAAAAAUAUACUAGCCGCACGAGAGUUUGAGCCAUAACAGGUCUGUGAUGCCCUUAGAUGUUCUGGGCCGCACGCGCGCUACAAUGGAGAGUUCAGCGAGCUGGCCCUGCUCCGAGAGGAGCGGGUAACCUCGUGAAAGCUGUCCUUAAAGGGGAUUGGGGCUUGCAAAUGUUCCCCAUGAACGAGGAAUUCCCAGUAGGCGCAAUUCACCAGAUUGCGCCGAUUUAGUCCCUGCCCUUUGUACACACCGCCCGUCGCUACUACCGAUUGAAUGGUCUAGUGAGGGCACCGGACUGGCGCCCUUGGAGCCGCUACCGCCUCGGCGGGCAGCGCCCUCGGGUCGACGGAAAGGUGUCCAAGCUGGGUCAUUUAGAGGAAGUAAAAGUCGUAACAAGGUUUCCGUAGGUGAACCUGCGGAAG
rnacentral:rRNA from 1 species